rnacentral:rRNA from 1 species
CCCAUUUCGUUGCCUUGAAAACGUAACGAAAGAAAACUAUACAACUUUCAACAACGGAUCUCUUGGCUCUCGCAUCGAUGAAGAACGCAGCGAAAUGCGAUAAGUAAUGUGAAUUGCAGAUUUUCAGUGAAUCAUCGAAUCUUUGAACGCACCUUGCGCCCCUUGGUAUUCCGAGGGGCAUGCCUGUUUGAGUGUCAUUA